GACGAACGCUGGCGGCGUGCCUAAUACAUGCAAGUCGAACGCAGUGGGGACGGGUGAGUAACACGUGGGUAACCUCCCAUCAGAGGGGAUAACACUUGGAAACAGGUGCUAAACCGAUACUGAUGGAUGGACCCGCGGUGCAUUAGCUAGUUGGUGAGGUAACGGCUCACCAAGGCCACGAUGCAUAGCCGACCUGAGAGGGGGGUCGGGCACACUGGGACUGAUACACGGCCCAGACUCCUACGGGAGGCAGCCAGAGGGAAUCUUCGGCCAUGGGCGAAAGUCUGACCGAGCAACGCCGCGGUAGUGAAGAAGGUUUUCGGAUCGUAAAACUCUGUUGUUAGAGAAGCGGUAUCUAACCAGAAAGCCACCGCUAACUACGUUGCAGCCGCCGCGGGAAUAC
rnacentral:rRNA from 1 species